ensembl:lncRNA
UGCUUUCCCUUUCCGUGCUGAAGGGAAGGCUGUGUUUAAUUAACUCUGCUGUGUGCUGGGGAGAGGGCCUGAUUGAAAAUGAGCUACGGGGCCUCUGUUACAAGGCAGAGGGCCACGCAGCCUCACAAAGGCACCAGCCCCGGCAACAUCUGGGCAGGAGCUCAGAGGCAGAGGCCCACAGGGUCCGCGCUGUGGGUGCUCGGCACCCCUCCCAGCUUCCUCCCUGCCUGCAGGGCAGAGCACCUGGCACAAGGGAACCGCUCAGCAAGCGCCCAACAGCCAAGUGACACCAGCAGCCGCUUCCACUCACCGAUCAUCCACCACGCGCCGAGGCAGGAGGAAUCGUAAUGAAACAGCGCUUGGAAUCUGGGCCCUUGGUGCAUGGUUGCUGAGCAAAUUCAAGAGCAGGCCCUCUGACCCUGCGUUCACUCGUCUGAAGGAAGCACCAACUGCUUAAUCAGACCGCUCUCAGCACAACUGAUGAAUAGAGGCCCCGGCUUUUGGGAAAAAAAAAAAAAAGAGGCAAAAAGAAAGAAAACGCUUCUGUAAAUCAGCUGUUUAUUUAACUUUCCCUGGCAUUUAAUG